CAAAAAAUCCUCAUUACAAAGCAUAAAAGAUGAGCGUGACUGGAGAUAGUGCUGAGUAUGUGUGACAUCAUCAUGACCUCAUGUGAGGCUCUCGCUAAAUCGAUGGGUCGCAGGAAGAAUCAUGAGGGGAAUUCUCAGCAGAGCCCAAAAUAAAGAAAACGCGGGUGAUAGCGAGCCAGAAUUCCUUUGCUGACUUCACAUGUCCCUGACAUCAGCCCGCUUACUCGCUUAGGCCCAUGAUGUCAGUUGUUUACCGCUGCACAGGGGCCGUGGAGGGGCUACUGGAUGAGUAAGCCUCAGAGUGAGAGAUGAAAAGCAGUCAAUCGAGUGAGAGUGUAUUUACAUGCGCGAGUUACCAUCACCACGGUUACCAUGCAACAAUCUGGAACUUGGCGCGUGCCAACGGCCCCCCAGGCACGACUUUGGAAGAUCGAGAUGAGAAGCCGAGGACAAACGAUGACUCGGUUGGCAGCUGCAGGUCAGAAGGGAAGGCGCUAUCGGCGUCUGUCAGCGCAGUGAAACGCAGAUCCCCGAUAUGGAGCACGGCGGAGAGCAACAUGAACACGGAAUCCACUUCCUGGUUGACAGAGAUGGUCAACAAUCUAAUGUGACAGACCCUCGGCCAUCAGGUAGAAGAUGUUGAAGUUGUGUUGGUGAAGAGGACACUGGACCACUCGAGACUUCUCUAGCAUGUACGUGUACACACGUGCUGCAACGUCAAGACAGGUUCACAUAAAUAAAUCUGUAGUAAAUUGUGA